rnacentral:lncRNA from 1 species
CAGAAAUGUUCUUCCUCUUAGGCAUAGGAAUUGUUUUGUUUAGAAUCUUUGAAUGACAGAUCUCUGAUAUAACUGCAUUUUUUUACAGGACAGAAUGACACAUGGUACAAGCUUUCUGUCUUACUGCCACACGUCAGUGUCCUGGGAGAUGAACCAGAUGCAGCUCCCUGAUGAAUGUGGGAAUAAAAAUUUAUAUCAGAAUCGACACUGGUUAUAAUGUGAAUUUAUGACAUUACUUGAGAAUAUUCAAUUCUGCUGUAGAGGACAAAAAAAAUGGAAUAAUGAAAUCCAUCAUAAACCCUGGGCAUAGUUGAUGAUAAAAGUGCUGGCCAGGCGUGGUGGCUCAUGCCUGUAAUCCCAGCACUUUGGGAGGCCGAGGCGGGUGGAUUACCUGAGAUCAGGAGUUCAAGACCAGCCUGGCUAACAUGGCGAAACCCCGUCUCUGCUAAAAAUACAAAAAUUAGCUGGGUGUAGUGGCAUGCACCUGUAAUCCGAGCUAUCCAGGAGACUGAGACAGGAGAAUCGCUUGAACCUGGAGGCAAUGGAGUCUUGCUGUUUUGCCCAGGCUGGAGUGCAGUAGUGCGAUCUUGGCUCACUGCAACAUCUGCCUCCCAGGUUCAAGUGGUUCUCCUGCCUUAGCCUCCCCAGUAGCUGGGGUGACAGGUAUGCACCAUGUUGCCCAAGUUUUUGCAUUAUUUAGUAGAGAUGGGGUUUCACCACAUUGCCCAGGCUGGUCUUGAACUCUUGACGUCAAGUGAUCUGCCCGCCUCGGCCUCCAAAGGUGCUGGGAUUACAGGCAUGAGCCACUGCGCCCAGCCAAGAUUUUCUUGGAUUUUUUUCUCUGUCAUUAAGUGUAGUCUCUAUUUCUACCUGCUUUGUACUACAAACCAAUUUAAAUAAGCAUGCUGUCUUUCUCCAUAAAAACAUUAAACUGUAGAACAAUGUUUUUAUGGAGAAAAAGAGCUAAAGUCACAUGCUGGUGGAGCAUAAAACGCUCACUUGAAGAACACCUUGGUAAUGGCUCCAGCUAACUGUACCAUGACCUAAUCCUGUGGCUGGAACCUCUGGGGAGUCUUAUCCACCUCCCCAAAUCCAUUUGACAAGCUCAGGUCCAAUACCACUUCUUUCAUGGGCUAUUCUCUGAUCUUCUCAGAAUGUCUAUCUUCUAUUGAAUUUGCCACAAUAUUUUGUUUGUACUACUCUUGAGACAUCCCACACAACCUUGAAUUAUAAUUGCUCACAUGGGUGUCUCAGCAUUUAUUCUAGACCAUAAGAUACUUAAAAGGAGGAAUUGUGAUUUCUUUGACAGUUUUGUCUCUUAGAAUUUAAGGGUGAGGGUGCUUAAUAAGUAUUAGAAAUAACGGAUAAGUAAAAUAUUCAGUGCUAUUAAAAAUACUAUUAAAUCUCAACACCUCCAGGGGUUACAUAUCUGAAAAAAGAUAUCAUACAUAUCUAUAUAAAUUCUAAAAUAAAUUGAAAUAGUCCAUAUCAAAAACCCUGCUGGAGUAGGUAACUCUUCACAAUCGACUUCAAUUAUUCAUGAUAUAAUUUUUGCAGGCACAUCAAAAAUUGUAUGUUUAGAGGUUAGAGGAUGAAUCCUCUUACAGUUUUCAAACCAGUCUGUACUAGCUUGAAAUGUAAUGUUUCUUGCACUUGAAUUUUCCCUGCUUUGUGUCUGCCAGUCUUGGCCCAAUGCUUGGGUACUUUUUUUAUGUUAUUGUGGUGCUUACAGGUGUUUUUCCAGCUGUGUUUUUCUAUCCUGAGGUUACAUCGGAGUAUGACAUGAUCAAACCUCUUCUUUGCACCAUGUCACAGAACCACCUUAAUGGAAGAGUGGACAAUAACUAUUGUGGUUUUCUCCUAUUUCAGGUGAUGGAAUGGAACCAUGUGUGUACAAAAAGAUACAGGAAUGUACAUAUUCAGUUUGCAAUAUAAAAACAUACACUGUGAUUGGAGAGGGAUUACAACAUUCUAAUUGCAAUUUUUGUCAUUUAUUCAAUAAAUAUUUCCUGGCUGGGUAUGAUGGCUCAAAGUGCCUGUAAUCCCAGCACUUUGGGAGGCCAAAGCAGGCAAAUCACCUGAGGUCAGGAGUUUGAGACCAGCCUGGCCACCAUGGUGAAACCCCAUCUCUACUAAAAAUACACAAAUUAGCUGGGUGUGGUGGUGCAUGCCUGUAAUCUCAGCUACCUGGGAGGCUGAGGCAGGAGAAUUGCUUGAACUCGGGAGGCGGAGGUUGCAGUGAGCUGAGAUUGCACCACUGCACCCCAGCCUGGGCAACAGAGUGAGACUCUGUCUCAAAACAAACAAACAAACAAACAAACAAAUUCCUGAGUGCCUACCAUAUGCUGAUUAAACUGUUCUAGAUGUUGGAGAUGCAGCUAUGGACAAGACAAAUACAGUCUCUUCUCUCCAGGAAUUUACCUUCUAAUGGAGGAGAGAGACAAAAACAACUUUGUACAUAAACCUUUUCUGAUAGUCAUUAAGAAAAUAAAGCAACAUGGUGUCCAAAUUCUAGAUUGCUCAUUUUAAAGGCUAGGGUGCCUAAAACCACAAGGAACAUUUCAGAAUUAGUAACAUUCAUACUUCGUAGAGCUAUACUUAGGCUAAUAAAUGUUUGGUAUUGUUGCCUCCCCAACAGCCACCUCAGACCACCUCCUGACUCCAAGUUUCCCUGCUCAUCAAUCCAAAAUUUUGUUGAAUAUACUACUUCCCCACCCCCAAUGGAGCUUAAGGGUUAACCUGAACUCUCUAAACCAAUCAGGGCAUUCCUACUGUCUUUGAUCGUGAGUGUUGUAGGCAGAGACAUAUAACCCAAUCCUUGCUAAUGAGACUUGAGGUAGGACCCCAGCUUCCGGAGAGGUUGCCUGGCUCCUAAAAAGAGAAAGAUACCGGAAAAGAGAUGGACUCUUCUACCACUGGAAAUCAGAUGGUGUCCUGAGUGACAUAAGUGUACUUACAACAGCCAUUUUGCAACCAUAAAGAAGCCAGUGGGAAUACACAGGCUACGUGUCCUCGAAGGCACAGAAGAAAGAAGAGAGAAAACUAUAUUCUUGAUGACACAGUUGAGCUACAGAAUUGUCCAACCCCGGAGGUGCCCCACUUCGCGUUGUGGGAGAUAAUGCAUUUUCCUUGCUGUUUAAACCACUUUGAGCUGAGUUUUCUAUUACCAGCAGCCUAAAGCAUUUUGACAGAUAAAAGUAGAUACAAAUGCACAUAUAUAAUGAGCAUCCUGACUGAACGAUUAAAUGUGUAUGUAGGCAUGCAUUACCUCCCCACUCCAUUUAUGAUUGUCACAUUUAUUUUUACUUCAGGGAAAAGCAACUAUAGAAUUUAAAAAAUCAGGAUUGAAAACAAAUACCUGAAUUUCCUACAAUUAAAAAAUCAAUCCAUUAAGUAGUGGUAUUAUGCUAAAAUAAAAUGAAUGCUUAG